GUCAUUAAGCAGCACCCAUACUAAAACUGGAAUGAUACAGAGAAGAUUAGCAUGGCCCCUGUGCAAGGAUGAUACACAAAUUUGAGAAGCAUUCCAUGUUUUU